rnacentral:rRNA from 1 species
UUUGAAAUUAAAAAAUGUAACAAGGUUUCACUGGAUAGGUGGACCUGCGGAAGGAUCAUUA